AGUUUAAGAAUUUUAUUAGGUUUAUAAUUUAUUAUUUUGUCAAGUUUAUUGUUAUUUUUCUACUUUAUUUUGUUUAGGAUUUCUAAUUACAGUUGAAUUGAGUUCUUAAUUCUAAUGUGAUUAGGGUUGCAAAACUCUAUAAAUAAGGCUUAUUUUAUCUACUUAUUUACAGAUUCUAUUAUGAUAUCAUUGACAAUUGAGAUUUAAUAAAAUUCUUAGAGAAUUUGUUUCACUUAAUCUUGGUUUCUUCCUGGUUCUACAUCAAAAAGAUACUCCAAUAAAUAUUUCUAACCUACAACAAUUGAAAUAUUCCAACAUGUUCAGUGUUAUGCGCAUACAAACAAAGAACUAUGUAAAAAAGUAGCACCAAGUAUUGUUCAUAACAGUGCUUGUACUAUCAAAGCCACUAAACUUCAAUCCCCUUCUAGUGCUAAGUCACAAAAGCAUAAAACACAACUAUCCUGAUGUUACCUUAGUUGUAGAAGAAG
rnacentral:misc_RNA from 1 species